rnacentral:lncRNA from 1 species
CUGUUGGUCCUCUUCACAUGUAAAUUUAUAAGGUUAUGCAACAGCUUCUGCAAUUACUAUUUUUCUUUUUGUGUGCAGAAUUUUCCCUGUGUCCCAUAACUAAGUUUCCUUUCAAGUCUGGGAUAAGCCUAUGCUUGACAAUGCAAGAAUCUCCAAAGAUCAAGUACAGAAUAAUAGAUGUUGAAGCUGCAAAUUCUGCCAAUAUCAUCACUGUUCUAAUGUCAGUGGAUUUAGUUAGUACAUUAUAUUUGGAAUUCAGAGAACGAAGAAAGGUAGAGAGAAAACUUUAUGAAGCUAGUAGUUCAAUUAUUUUCUGAAAGACACCUGCAAGGUGAUUAUUAUUAUUAUUUACUAAAAAUUAACUCAGUAACUUGAAUUUA